CUGGCUCAGGAUAAACGCUGGCGGCGUGCCUAAUACAUGCAAGUCGAACGGACAUAAGCAAUUAUGUCAGUGGCGAACGGGUGAGUAAAACGUAAGCAACCUGCCUGUAAGGACCGGGAUAACACUUGGAAACGAGCGCUAAAACCGGAUAGGUAACGGAGGGGCAUCCCACUGUUAUUAAAGGUUGGAGACACAAACAGAUGGGCUUACGGCGCAUUAGUUAGUUGGUGAGGUAACGGCCCACCAAGACGAUGAUGCGUAGCCGGCCUGAGAGGGUGAACGGCCACAUUGGGACUGAGACACGGCCCAGACUCCUACGGGAGGCAGCAGUAGGGAAUUUUCGGCAAUGGGGGAAACCCUGACCGAGCCAACGCCGCGUGAGUGAAGACGGUCUUCGGAUUGUAAAGCUCUGUUGUAAGGGAAGAACGGUACGGACAGAAUCCGUAAGUGACGGUACCUUACGAGAAAGCCACGGCUAACUACGUGCCAGCCGCCGC
rnacentral:rRNA from 1 species